CCUGCCCGCGGCCUGGCUGCCUCACUCCAGCUGUGCGGGUCCUGCGGAGACACAAGACAACACCGCCCUGGACGCAGCGAGGCCUCUAUUAAAUGUCCUCUUCUCCGAAGAUGCUUACUUUACAACCACGUGUGACUAUCUGGAAAAUUCUCCCGUUCUUAGGAAAUACUCUGGCAUGUCCAGAGAUUGCAGAGAAUUAAAACGUCAGAGAUUCUUUGCAGAUUCUUUCCAGCUUCUCCCAUCAAGAGGCACAGGCUAGUUCCCCAUCCCUCUAAUCUGGCCAAGCCUUGCAACUUGCUGUGCUGAGAGUGGCACAAGAGACACCAUGUGACUCCAAGUAAGGCCUCAGGGGCCUUCCAGCUUCUGCUCUUGUCCCUCUGGAACUCAGGUCCCUGUGAGAAGCCUGAGCCAGCCUCCUGGAGGGGCACAUGGAGGAGAACCAAGGCCCCCAGGCCAACUGCCCCAGCUAAGUGCUGGGGACGUGAGGAGGACACUUGGGACCAGUCACAAAGUUUAGAGUGACUUUUUAGGAAGGAAAGUCGAACUGUAACAAGAGGGAAGAACAAAGGCCUGCCACUUAAAUUUUUGAAAAUAAGAAGUUGAGGGAAAACAGAAAUAAAACUUCAAGUAGCUACAUCUAUGGUCAAUUGAUUUGCAAGAAGGGUGUGAAGAUAAGUUGAUGGGGAAAGAAUCAUCUUUUCAAAAAAUGGUGCUGGAACAAAAGGAUGAAUUUGGACUACUAUCUCACACGACAUUAAAAAAUUUACUCAAAAUGGAUCAAAGACUUAAAUGUAAGAGCUAAAACUUAAAAACAUCUCAGAAGCAAACAGACGUCAAUCUCCUUGACCUUGGAUUAGGCAAUGGUUCCUUUGGAUUAGAUACCGUCAGCAACAAAAGAAAGCGAACCAUUAAGAAAGUGAAAGAACAAUACAAAUAAUGAGACAAAAUACUUGGAAAUAAUGUAUCUGAUGAAGACUUCCUUCUAGGAUGUAUAAAGAAUUCUUAAAACUCAGUAAUAAAAAGACAAAAUAACCCAAUUCAAAAAUGACCGAAGGAAUUGAAUAGACAUUUCUCCAAAGAAGACAUACAAAAAUGGCCAAUAAUCACAUCAAAAGUGAUUGGAAAGACAAAUCAAAACCACAGAGGCCGGGCGCAGCGGUUCAGGCCUGUAAUCCCAGCACUUUGGGAGGCCGAGGCGGGCAGAUCACUUGAGGUCAGGAGUUCGAGACCAGCCUGGCCAACAUGGCGAGAGCCCGUCUCUACUAAAAAUACAAAAAAAUUAGUUGCAUGUGGUGGCAGGUGCCUGUAGUCCAAGCUACUCAGGAGGUUGAGGCAGGAGAAUCGCUUGAACCUGGGAGUGGGGGGAUUGCAGUGAGCCAAGAUUGCACCACUGCACACCAGCCUGGGUGACAGAGCAGAACACUGUCUCUGAAAAAAAAAAAAAAAGGAACCGCAGUGAGACACCAUUUCACACCUGCUAGAAUGACUAUAAUUUUUAAAGGGCAGCUAAGUGUUAGUGAGGAUGUGGAGAAAUUGCUGGGACUGGAUAUACACUCACAAAAGGAUGAAUCCCUUGGUGGUUGUUCAGAACGUUCAACAUAGUUUCCACAUGGCCAGGAAUUCCACUCCUAGGUCUACGCCCACGAAAAAUGAAAACAUCCAUUCACACAAAAUCUUCUGCGUGAAUUUUCAUGGGAGCACGAGUCACAAUGGCCAAAAGGUGAAAAUAACCCAAAUGCCUAGCAGCUGAUGAAUGGAGAAGAAAAUCUGGUAGAGCCAUACAAGGGAAUAUGAUUCAGGAAGGAAAGCAAAAGGAAGGGAAUUCUGACAUGCUACAAUAUGGAAGAACCUUGAAAACAUUAUGCUAAGGGAAAGAAACCAAAUGCAGAAGUCACCUAUUCUGUGAUUUCACUUCUAUUAAAUUCUGAGAACAGGCAAAUCCAUGAAGACAUAGAUCAGUGGCUGCCCGGGGCUGAGGGAGGUGAAGAGUGACUGCUCCUGGUAUGCAGCUUAUUUUUCAGGUGACGAAGAUAUUCUAGGAUUAGAUAGCAGUGAAAGCUGCACAACCUGUGAGUACGGUUAAAGGAAAAAGAAAAAACAAACACUGAAUUGUAUACUUUAAAACAGCGAAUUUUAUGGUGUAUCGAUUAUAUUUCAGUAAAUGAGCCAAAACAUCUGCAAAAGAUAAAA